rnacentral:rRNA from 1 species
CCUCAUGGCCUUUAUGUCCAGGGCUACACACGUGCUACAAUGGACGGUACAGAGGGUCGCAAUAUCGCGAGAUGGAGCCAAUCCCAAAAAGCCGUUCCCAGUUCGGAUUGGAGUCUGCAACUCGACUCCAUGAAGUUGGAAUCGCUAGUAAUCGCGGAUCAGCAUGCCGCGGUGAAUACGUUCCCGGGCCUU